rnacentral:rRNA from 1 species
AGUGAACGCUGGCGGUAGGCCUAACACAUGCAAGUCGAACGGCAGCACAGUAAGAGCUUGCUCUUACGGGUGGCGAGUGGCGGACGGGUGAGGAAUACAUCUGAAUCUACUUUUUCGUGGGGGAUAACGUAGGGAAACUUACGCUAAUACCGCAUACGACCUACGGGUGAAAGCAGGGGAUCUUCGGACCUUGCGCGAUUGAAUGAGCCGAUGUCGGAUUAGCUAGUUGGCGGGGUAAAGGCCCACCAAGGCGACGAUCCGUAGCUGGUCUGAGAGGAUGAUCAGCCACACUGGAACUGAGACACGGUCCAGACUCCUACGGGAGGCAGCAGUGGGGAAUAUUGGACAAUGGGCGCAAGCCUGAUCCAGCCAUACCGCGUGGGUGAAGAAGGCCUUCGGGUUGUAAAGCCCUUUUGUUGGGAAAGAAAAGCAGCAGGUUAAUACCCCGCUGUCCUGACGGUACCCAAAGAAUAAGCACCGGCUAACUUCGUG